GAUAACGUUGCUUUAGCAACGGCCCGAAGGGCGAGGCGAAGCCGAGUCAUCCUGCACGACCCACCA
rnacentral:sRNA from 2 species